GGGCGUAUAGCUCAGCGGUAGAGCGCUCGCCUCACACGCGAGAAGUCCCUGGUUCGAACCCAGGUACGCCCA
rnacentral:tRNA from 2 species